AGAGUUUGAUCCUGGCUCAGGACGAACGCUGCGGCGCGCCUAACACAUGCAAGUCGAACGAGCGAGAGAGAGCUUGCUUUCUCAAGCGAGUGGCGAACGGGUGAGUAACGCGUGAGGAACCUGCCUCAAAGAGGGGGACAACAGUUGGAAACGACUGCUAAUACCGCAUAAGCCCACAGCUCGGCAUCGAGCAGAGGGAAAAGGAGCAAUCCGCUUUGAGAUGGCCUCGCGUCCGAUUAGCUGGUUGGUGAGGUAAUGGCCCACCAAGGCGACGAUCGGUAGCCGGACUGAGAGGUUGAACGGCCACAUUGGGACUGAGACACGGCCCAGACUCCUACGGGAGGCAGCAGUGGGGAAUAUUGCACAAUGGGGGAAACCCUGAUGCAGCGACGCCGCGUGGAGGAAGAAGGUCUUCGGAUUGUAAACUCCUGUUGUUGAGGAAGAUAAUGACGGUACUCAACAAGGAAGUGACGGCUAACUACGUGCCAGCAGCCGCGGUAAAACGUAGGUCACAAGCGUUGUCCGGAAUUACUGGGUGUAAAGGGAGCGCAGGCGGGAAGACAAGUUGGAAGUGAAAUCUAUGGGCUCAACCCAUAAACUGCUUUCAAAACUGUUUUUCUUGAGUAGUGCAGAGGUAGGCGGAAUUCCCGGUGUAGCGGUGGAAUGCGUAGAUAUCGGGAGGAACACCAGUGGCGAAGGCGGCCUACUGGGCACCAACUGACGCUGAGGCUCGAAAGUGUGGGUAGCAAACAGGAUUAGAUACCCUGGUAGUCCACACCGUAAACGAUGAUUACUAGGUGUUGGAGGAUUGACCCCUUCAGUGCCGCAGUUAACACAAUAAGUAAUCCACCUGGGGAGUACGACCGCAAGGUUGAAACUCAAAGGAAUUGACGGGGGCCCGCACAAGCAGUGGAGUAUGUGGUUUAAUUCGACGCAACGCGAAGAACCUUACCAAGUCUUGACAUCCCUUGACGAUGCUGGAAACAGUAUUUCUCUUCGGAGCAAGGAGACAGGUGGUGCAUGGUUGUCGUCAGCUCGUGUCGUGAGAUGUUGGGUUAAGUCCCGCAACGAGCGCAACCCUUACUGUCAGUUACUACGCAAGAGGACUCUGGCAGGACUGCCGUUGACAAAACGGAGGAAGGUGGGGAUGACGUCAAAUCAUCAUGCCCUUUAUGACUUGGGCUACACACGUACUACAAUGGCGUUAAACAAAGAGAAGCAAGACCGCGAGGUGGAGCAAAACUCAGAAACAACGUCCCAGUUCGGACUGCAGGCUGCAACUCGCCUGCACGAAGUCGGAAUUGCUAGUAAUCGUGGAUCAGCAUGCCACGGUGAAUACGUUCCCGGGCCUUGACACACCGCCCGUC
rnacentral:rRNA from 1 species